rnacentral:miRNA from 1 species
AAUGGGGGAAGGACGCAGGAA